GAUGAACGCUAGCGGCAGGCCUAACACAUGCAAGUCGAGGGAGAAGCCCUUUCGGGGGCCGAAACCGGCGCACGGGUGCGUAACGCGUAUGCAACCUACCUUUCACAGGGGGAUAGCCCGAAGAAAUUUGGAUUAAUACCCCAUAAUAUUAUUGGAUGGCAUCAUUUGAUAAUUAAAACUGCGGUGGUGAAAGAUGGGCAUGCGUCCUAUUAGCUAGUUGGAGUGGUAACGGCACCCCAAGGCUACGAUAGGUAGGGGUCCUGAGAGGGAGAUCCCCCACACUGGUACGGAGACAGGGACCAGACUCCUACGGGAGGCAGCAGUGAGGAAUAUUGGUCAAUGGUCGGAAGACUGAACCAGCCAUGCCGCGUGCAGGAAGAAUGCCUUAGGGGUGGUAAACUGCUUUUAUAGGGGAAGAAUAAGGCGUACGGGUACGUUGAUGACGGUACCAUAUGAAUAAGCAUCGGCUAACUCCGUG
rnacentral:rRNA from 1 species